rnacentral:rRNA from 1 species
GAUGAACGCUGGCGGCGUGCCUAAUACAUGCAAGUCGAGCGAACGGACGAGAAGCUUGCUUCUCUGAUGUUAGCGGCGGACGGGUGAGUAACACGUGGAUAACCUACCUAUAAGACUGGGAUAACUUCGGGAAACCGUAGCUAAUACCGGAUAAUAUUUUGAACCGCAUGGUUCAAAAGUGAAAGACGGUCUUGCUGUCACUUAUAGAUGGAUCCGCGCUGCAUUAGCUAGUUGGUAAGGUAACGGCUUACCAAGGCAACGAUGCAUAGCCGACCUGAGAGGGUGAUCGGCCACACUGGAACUGAGACACGGUCCAGACUCCUAAGGGAGGCAGCAGUAGGGAAUCUUCCGCAAUGGGCGAAAGCCUGACGGAGCAACGCCGCGUGAGUGAUGAAGGUAUUCGGAUCGUAAAACUCUGUUAUUAGGGAAGAACAUAUGUGUAAGUAACUGUGCACAUCUUGACGGUACAUAAUCAGAAAGACACGGCUAACUAAGUG